AACUCCGAACCAUGAAAGUGCAAGCCCAAUCCGCUCCUCCCACGGCCCACGUCUCGUCAGUUUUUUCCUUUUUCCCGUGGCCCGUGGGUGUGCGUCCUAGGUGUGCGGCGGGCGGUGCGCCGUGCGCCUCCUCUCCUCGCCGCGACGCUGCCGUGUUCGCGAUUCAGCGCCGUGCUCGACGCCCCUCCUCUCCUCAGAAGUCAGCGCCGCAUCUCCGGUUGCAGAGACUUGCGCUGCCACAUCUCCGCUUUUCGUCCUUCAGUUGCUCGACGCCCCUCCUCCCCUCAGAAGUCAGCGCAGCGUCUCCACUCUCCACGCCGGCGCGUCGGCGACGCGGGUCCUUCGAAUAAGACGGUUUGUUCUCGCAUCGGGCGUCAGCCGGAUUCGAGGGACAUAGAUGAUGGAAGUCGAUCUUGGGUGCCACCACGUCGAAGCGGCUUGUGCUGUGUAGAUCCGGCGAAAGCGCGCAGGCAAAGCCCGGGUCUGCGUCGUCAUUGGCCUCAUGAUCUUCGUAUUGCCAUCGCGCUAAAGGGAACGAAGGCGACGAGGUCUUAAACUUUGAUUGAUAUAUGCGGAUAUGAAAAUGCAUGCAACUACAUGCUAGAAGUCUGUCUUGGUUGUGUUGGAGAAAAAUUCUUUGUUACGUUUUUGUUGAUAGCGUUGAGUGCCAAAAAUGGAGCUUCUCCCUGUUGAAGUCGUUGGCAACAUUCUUUCCCAUCUUGGUGUUGCGCGUGAUGUUAUGAUUGCCUCUGCGGUAUGCCGCAAGUGGCGAGAUGCAUGCAGGAGGCAUCUCCGUUUGCUGUCCUUCAACUCCAAUGACUUUCCACGGGACAUGACUACACGUCAGUUGGAGAUUGUCAUCACACAGACUAUAUUUCAGACUAUGGGGCUGCAACGCCUUUCGAUUCACAUUGAUAACACCCAUGAGUUCUCUGCAGCACCAGUGAUUGCAUGGCUCAUGUAUACCAGGGAGACCCUCCGAAGCCUGUCUUACAAUGUCAGGACAAUACCCAAUGUAAGCAUUCUUGAAAAGUGUGGUAGGCAAAAGCUCGAAGUGCUAGAUUUGGAAUUGGACCAUAACACCAUCACAGGUGUCGAACCAAGCUAUCAGAGGUUCACUUGUCUGAAAUCCCUUUCCCUGAGGCAUGUCAGCAUUUUGGCCUUGGAUUUGAGCCUUUUAGUUGCUGCUUGCCCAAGAAUAGAGUCAUUAGCACUUGAUGUCCUUGAGGUUGUCACUUCAGAAUUACAGUCUACGAUGGAGCUCACAAGCCAUACAUUGAAAAGUCUAUUUGCAAAAUCGGUAGGUGUAGAUAAGAUCAUACUUGAUGCAGAUAAUUUGGAAGUUCUGCACCUGAAUGCUUUAAAUCUCGAUCUGUUUGAGCUUAACGGGAAAGGAACACUAAAACAUUUUAAGAUUGAUGAUGUCAGUGUUACUCAUUUGGAUAUUGGGGACAAUACUGAUCAUUUGGAGGCAGUAGACGUGAGCAACUUCACAAUAGUCUGGCCAAAAUUCUAUAGCAUGAUAUCCAGGGCAUCUAAUUUGCGUAUGCUACGAUUUUGGGGUGUUGUGUUUGAUGACGAGGAUGAGAUCGUGGAUUCAGAAACUAUAGCUGUUUCAUUUCCUCUUCUUAGGCAUCUUUCAUUGAGUUAUGAAUUACGAGAUGGGUUACUUCACUACAGCCUUCAGGGAUCAUCAUUACUGGAGAAUGUCUCAGUUCUGGAACUUGGUUGGACAGUAAUAAGUGAGCACUUUGGACCCUGGGUGUUUGGUAUGAUUGGAAGGUGUCCAAAUCUCAAGAAACUUGUUAUUCAUGGUGUUCUUUCUGAGACAAAAACGCGAGAGGAUCGCCAGAUGUUAGCAAGCUUUACCUCAUUCAUAGUCUGUGUCAUGAGGAAGUAUGUGCAUGUUGAUGUACAAUUUGAGUAUGAGUGACAGCUACUAGGUUGGGUGGGCAUCUUGUCAUUGUUCAGAUGAAGCUGUGCCAUCAGGUUUGUGCCAUGGUGGGGACAUAAAUGUUCGCUACCUUGUAGGAAUGCAGAGGGGGUGUCACAACCAUAUACGAGCUUGGACAAGGUUUCCUUGAGUGUUGUAUGGAAGGACGUGUUGUUGAUGUACUUGACCUAUGGCAACCAACAUACUUAUUGCCAAGGCCGAUCACCUGUCAUACAUUGGAGGUACACCGUGAUCUUGUUGAUCAUUUCUGUCUAGCUGCACAGUAGGGUUGGAAAGUUGGUCUCAUGCAUAGCUUAGAGCCCGACUCCUAGAAUCGGGCUUGCCAAAAUAUAGAAGCGAACAUGAUCGGGGACGACGGAGGUCAGAAUGUCGUGAAGGCGGAAGAUCUCGACGAAGAAUAUCCGCUAUCGAUUCAACAGAGUAGGGGUGGCUCAUGGAUAAAGUGGGCAUACUGCGAUUAACCAUCAUCAAAAUCAUCGAUUUCACCCAUCUUCGACAGCCCUUCAAUGAAGUCGAGGGCUCAAGGCUGGUAUUGCUCUAGAUGGUGGUGAGCACUGACAUGGAAUGGAGCAGGCUAGCUAGGGCUAAGGUCUCUGUCUUCUUGUGCUGACAAACACCAUAGUUCCUGACAUAGUCACCCUCGACGAUGCAAUGCUCCUGUGGAACAUGGAAAUUGUGGUGGAAGUUGUCUAGUCUUAUGUACCCAGUGGUGGACAUGGGCCUAAGGCCCUAGUCGUUGGCCCAAUAUCACCUUAUACCCAUAGUGUUAGGGCCAUAAACAUGAGCCUAGCAAAAAAACAAGUAGGACCUAGCGCAUGCUUCGGCUUUUGUUUCUAGUUCCCUCGCGGUUGUCGUCCGUGCCUGUGGACGGAAGACUGAAGACCUAGGGGCAUAGAAUCACUGAGUCGCGCCUCCGCUAGUUUGUCAUCUAUCGUCACGCCAUUCCGCUACCGCGUCGACAGGUAGCCGCCAAAGUCACCACGCUUGCCUCCGCCCCGGCUAGCCACCCACAACCCAGUGGUGGAGGACACGCCAAAAUCAAGAUGUCGCUAAUGCAACAAUGUCAUAACAGUCAAGCAUCAAGUUGUACCACAACACAUUCAGUUUCACGCCAUUGCGAGGCAUAUCGUUGAGCAGCCGGCAUGCGUCGUCCACAAGCCCCGACUUGCAUAACCCAUUGACGACGACGGACACGACGAGUGGCAAGACGGAGUCUAGGCAUGAGCCGAGCGCCCGCGUUAGGAGGCCCACGACGUCCACGAGGCGCUCGAUGUGGCGGAGCGAGGACGUGAGUGAGCACAGGUCGAGGUCGACGAGGCAGGACACGAUGGCAUCGAGCGCCUCGGACGCGCGACAUGCUGCCUUCGCGUUCGCGUCCGCUCGGAUGAGCAUGUUGUGGAACGCCGCCACGGCGUGCGGCGACGCGCCAUGCGGGAUCGAGGAGGCGGUGAGGUCCAUGAACCACUGGGAGGCAGGCGUGAGCAGGACAGGAGCACGAACCUAUUGGCAGCAAAGCGCCGUGCAGUAAGGAGCUACACGAAGGUGGGAACAUGGACAGAGGUGGUCUUGGACGCUGGGCGCUUGGGAGGGAUAAUAAUUUUGUUUUUCUUUUAUUAAUAUCUUAUUGGGCUGGGUAAAGGUAUUGCCCAAGCAAUACUGGGCCAUAUUAGGUCCUCUGCCCUUGCCACAACCCAUGGGAAGACCGAAGGGGUCAGAGUUGCCGAGUCGGCGCCACCACCACUGCCCACCACGACGACCUGGAGGUCCUCGCGCAGUCGCGCUGGCCUCCAGAACUGACCACGCGCCCACCGCCCACCACGUUACGCUCGUGCCCAGGCCGCUAGGCGGCUGCUGCAUCAUGCAUUCACACAUGUGUGGUUGCGGCAUGCCGACACCGCCCACUGGUGACUAACCACCUGACCCUACCAACCCAUUGCCCACCGGCUGGCCUCCCUCCCUCAGUCAUGGUAGGACGAAAAGUUCUAAUUUCUCUUUCUCUUAUUAAUUUUUAUUCAAAUUCAAUAGAUUGAUACUGAAACUGAAAUAAAAAAAUCAAAUAUGGAUGAUGGUUAUACAUCUCUUAUAUUAAAAGCUACGGGGAUUCUUGGUCCCUCGGAGCAGCCACGUCGCUCAGAAAAUGUUAGUCGUUCGAUCUCAACACCCGAUCUCUCUCAACGUCCGAUGUUUGAAUCAACGCGAUGGUGCACAAGCCCAACGCUCGCUUCGCUCUUUCGUCCUCGCGAGGCUGCUGCCCACCACCAGCGUCUUCUCUCUCCCGUCCUCGUGAGGCCACCGCCCACCAACGCUACCGCUGCGUCCUACAUCGUCUCGCCCUCGCCCACCUCGUCGUCCGGAGCUUCGCUCUCCCAUCCUCGCGAGGCUGUCGCCCACCACCGCCGCCUUCUCUCUCUUGUCCUCGCGAGGCCGCUGCUCAAUAAAGUUGUCGCCGCAUCCUGCAUCCCCCUCGCCCUCGCCCACCACCGCCGCCUUCUCUCUUCUGUCCUCGCGUGGCCGCUGCUCAAUAAAGCUGUCGCCGCAUCCUGCAUCCCCCUCGCCACCUUGUCGUCCGGAGGACCUAGCAUCCAGAUCCGUCGCCCGAGCUGCUAUACCCGCCGGUUGUCACCAUCUAUUUAUUCAUUGUUAGAAACUUGGGUUUAGUGCUCAGGAGAUUUCCACAUGUAAGAUUUUCAUCUACUUGAGAAGAUAUGGCAGAGACAUACCUUUGUUAUUUUGAACUGAAACAUUGUCGAACACUGUUAGGUGUCCAUCGAUGUUGUUGGUGUUAGGUGUCCAUCGAUGUUGUUGGCCUGGUAGAUGAGUGGGUUGCUCGUUGUUUUGAAGAACUUGAUUAUGUAAAUGUAAAUUAUGGGGAAAUGACACUUUGCUGACGUGAUGAAAGAUCUUCCAUAGGUAAUUACUCUGGUAGCCAUAAAUUUUCCCUGUGGAAGUGGGAAGUUGUGUAACAAGAUGGUUUAUAACAUCUAUACUCUAUAUUGUUACUGAAUACAACAUGUAGAAAUUUAUUGGAAAAUUCACUUUUGUUAAUUUAAUAGAAAAUCCCCCAGGUUGUUGUACCAAAGACUUACCAUAGAUACACAUCUAGAAAAGUUCUUACCACACAAGAGAGAGAGAGAGAGAGCACAUAGGACGAUGUUGGACCAUUGGUCAGUGUAGGAGUCAUUUGCUAUCUGAAAUAGGUUAGUUUGGAAAUCAUUUCUUUACAUCUUAUAAAUACUAUCCACAUCUUACAUGAUCGAACAUAUGCAUGCACUCACUUGCUGAAGGUAAGGAAUAAUGCUCUUCAGUCUUCACCAUCUUUUCCAUAGUAUUCCUGUCUUACAUGAUUGAAAAUAUGUGUGCACUCAUGUCACCUUUUUUAGAGAAAGUAUCUUCAUGCUAUAUUUAUUGUUAUUUGCAGUUGCUUGAUACUGGGUUCUUCCACAUUGAUCCACAUCUAGGCAAUAUGAUCAGAACACCUGACGGAGAUUAUGUUGCAGAACUGUAUCAACUCCCUCUAAUUUUAUGUUAUAUUAUAUUUGGUAGGAAUUUCUACUGGGUCUGAAACUUGUAACAUACAGUUUUCUGAAGAUCUACGAAAGAUAGUGGAUACUUAUCAGAUGAGUGCUUGCACUGCCUUUCAAGUCAUCCGACUAAUCGCGAUUAGUCGGGCUGGUCGGUUUAGGGUGGCCGAUUAGGGAAGCCGACCCGAUCAGAACACCUGGUCGCCCUGGUGUUGAUGAAUUUCAGUUGGAUGAAGAUCUUUAGGUCACUGGUAGUGUGGUAGUAAGUGUUUCUUUGCUGUUUUGAACACCUGCAUUACUUUAGGGUCAUUGGGAGCUACUGUUUUAAGUUGGAUGAACAAAUGUCUUUUCUUAAAUGAGUAUUGCAGAAUCAAUGUUUUCAAGUCGGACGACUUGCUGGUCGUUCUGGCUGACCGACUAGGGCGAUUAGUCGGACGACUUGGGUGAUUAAUCGUGAUUGGUCCAAACCGACUUGGACGAUUAAUCGCGACUAAUCACGAUUAAUCGGACGACUUGAAAACAUUGCAUAAUUCAUGUCAUGUUUACCCUUUAUAUAUAGUUAUCUACUAUGUUAUAUACUCUAUACAAAUAUGGUCUUAUAUACCAUAUAUACUCUAUACAUAUGUCCUAGAUGAACAAGACGACUAGUAGACGACCAGGGUCGACCAGAGGUCGAUUAGUUGACCUAGUCGUCGACUAAUCAAGAUUAGUCGCCUAGUCGGACCCCUAGGUCGAUCAGUUGGUCGCUCGACUAGAAAACAUAGUGCAUUGCAAAAGUUACUAAUGCUUCCAUCCUUUUGGAAGCUUUGAUGUUGUCAUUUUUUAUUGAAAGUGGUGAAGUUGGAAGAAUAAAUAUUGUUGAGGGUGUUGGGGUAUGUUACUUUUAUUUUAUGUAUGUUGUCAGUUAGCUGAUCGAAGGGCGGGCCUGGUGCAGCGGUAGAGCCUACCGUCUGUAACCGGAAGGUCCCAGGUUCGAGCCCUAAUGCAUAUUAUAUGGAUAAGGCUUGGUGCUUAAAGAUACCCUUGCACAGACCUCGCACAGUGCGGGAAGCCUGCGGCAUUGAGUACACCUUUUUUUUGUCAGUUACCUGAUCAUUUGUUUCACCCUCCCCACCCAAGUACACAAUGUUGUAUUCAUGUGAGUGGACAGGUUCUAAUUUUAAGAGCAAUUUCUCGAUGGCCAUUAUUCAGAUUGGUCCACUCAGAUGCUGGCCAGGUGGAUUGUGGGCCUGUUUGGUUCGCUACCUAACUUGCCACACUUUGCCUAACUUUUCUGCCUAAGGUUAGUUCUUCAAUUCGAACAACUAACCUUAGGCAAAGUGUGGCGCAGUUAGCCACGAACCAAACAGGCCCUGUGUCUAUCAAGGUCAAUAGGUGAUAUUGACGUCGAGGAAUUUAUAGUUCCUGUCCCAUAUGUGAAGCAAGUAAAUGUGCAUAACAUAUAUGAACUAUUUAUAUAGGUGCAGUGGUGGAAAAGGUUUUUCAUGCUAAAAGAUUCCCCUUGUUAUACAAAUCUGCCAUUUUUUUGCUUGUAGCAUCUGCCCGUUUUUUCCCUGACAAACGUGUCAUCAAUUAAUUUGUAAAAAAAAUGAUAGAUUAAGCGGCGAUCGGCAUGCUCUGCCGUAGCACCGACUCGACACACGAGACAGCGUGUGAGCAGAAGACCGAGGUGAGAUUUCGUACACACUCAUCCCAAACGGUCUGAAUCAGAAGGGGAAUCGCUGGCGCGUAGGCUAUGAAUACUGUGAGACAAAAGAGAUUUGAUAUUUUAUUGCUAGCUGCAGAUCAGAGAACCUGAAGUAUAUUGAUUUCAUAGGUGGUUCUUGCUGGAUCAUGUAAAGCUCCAUCUCUUAUAAUAGCUUGAACUUAUACAUAUUUGGUACUUGUUUUAAAUUUAUAAUGCACAAAUUAUUGAUAUUCGUAUAGAUGAGAUGAUAUGAUAUGAUCCAUGAUGUUCUUCUGCUACUUCAGAGCUCUCUUUGUUCUCUGUGACUGACAGCAAGAGAUGAACCAACGUGUUUUGUUGCAUUGGGAGCAGAGGCUGGAGAUAAUCGUAGGAGUUGCCAAAGGUGUUGCUUAUCUGCAAGGACUAAGAAAGGAAGUGAUACACAGUGAUCUAAAACCAUCCGACAUACUCUUGGAUGAAAACUAGAGAGCUAAAAUUGCAGAUUUUGGCACCACAAAAGUGUUCGUGGAUGGCCAGACGAAUCCAACACUUGUACAAUAGAGGGACACAGGGCUCUAGAGUACACUGUUUGAGAUCCAGUGUUUCAAAGUCCAGCCAAAAAUGUUGAAAUUCAGGUUCAGUUCAGAACUAAGUUUCAGUUCUGUCUAAGCCAUGAUAGUGUUCAAUUUAGUUAUUAAAUAAUUGUUGUUCUUUGGUUACAAACAAUUGUACUUUUUAAUUGUUGAAACAUUAUACUUUUGGUUAAUUCCAAAGUAUUAAAUAAUUGUAGUUGUUUGAUGAAUUUGGACAAUGAUGAUGAUGAUUUAGAAUCUGAUCCAGAGUUUGAUGAAUGAUGAUGAAGAGAUGGUAUACAAUACAAUCAGGGUAGGGGCAAAAGUUUAGAUUGUUCGAAAGCAAAAAAAAAUAAAAAAAUAAAAAGAAGACUGGACCAAUACUAGAGGAGCUAUGGGACAUUUUAUCACUCCAGGUUUUGUAAGUACCUCAGAAUCUAUGGAAAAAUUGAGACUGUCUAAUUACAAGAAUUGAAUAUUUGAAUUCCAGUUUGAUUGAUAGUUGAAGUAUUGACGAAUCUGCAAUUGAAAUCAUUAGCCUUUAAUUGAUUUGGGAUUUUAAGUAUACUGUAUAGAUGCUACAUUCUUUGUGUCACAUAUAUGUUUGCUUUUUUUAUCAAUAUAUUAUGACAAAAAAAUGCUAGAGUCCAGAUAAGGCAUGCAACGUGCGCCCAAUUUUCUAGUAUUCUUCACAAUGAAGAGGACCAAGAUAACAUGGAAGAUGCGGAUGCAUGGACUCACUAGUCAUUAGUUAUUUAUUUUCGUGUUUACCGUGCAAUGUUCUUAACGUUUCAGUUUGAUCAUUUAUCUUUAUUUUAGUUAAUUCUCGGUGCAAUGUUAAUGGGAUAGUUUUUGCCAAUAGUUGCAAACAUAAUGGGUAGUUUUCACUGCUAAGUACCCUAGUCAUGAGCAAAGCCUGGGUCUGCUACUGUUUGUAACCCUUCAUGGGCGUCGUUGUGCGCUGCAGCUAAGAUCACCGGAGCAGCUAAUGGCUUGUUCGCUGCGGCUUUAAUCCGACUGCGGCUGCGGCUUCUACAGUAUUUUCUCUCUAGGGAUUGCAGCUGCAACAGUAUUUUGCAGCUGCAACAGUGGUUUUUGUAGUGCAGCCGAACGCGCUCUAAGAUCACCGGAAGGAGAGUGUAGUCGCUGGGCAUGAACAUGUGCUGGCCAAACAUAACGAGUUCCGAGGUCCGACCCUAAUGGCGUUGUGCAAGGCCCACAAAAAUGCUGGGUCUGCUUUAGUUGCUGCUUGUAUGCUGUGAGCCUGUGACUAAGGAAGUUGAACGAUGGUGUUGAGACGGCAAAGCAGGUAGCAGCAGUGCCACAUUGGCUCAUUGUGCCUAGAUAGUGUGUCUGCCAACAUGUUCAAGCAUCCUGGCUUAUGUUCAAUAACAGAGCCAAAGCCCAGGAUCUUACAUUGACUCUAUC